rnacentral:rRNA from 1 species
CGAAGAAGCCUUUUGGGGUGUAAAGCUCUGUCAGCUGGAACGAAAACAAUGACGG